UACGUAGGUGGCGAGCGUUAUCCGGAAUUAUUGGGCGUAAAGGGUGCGCAGGCGGUUUGUUAAGUUUAAGGUGAAAGCGUGGGGCUUAACCCCAUAUAGCCUUAGAAACUGACAGACUAGAGUACAGGAGAGGGCAAUGGAAUUCCAUGUGUAGCGGUAAAAUGCGUAGAUAUAUGGAGGAACACCAGUGGCGAAGGCGGUUGCCUGGCCUGUAACUGACGCUCAUGCACGAAAGCGUGGGGAGCAAAUAGG
rnacentral:ncRNA from 2 species